GAUCUUUAUAAAUUAAAUAAUUAAAUAAAAAUUAGUUAAAUUAUUUUUUUAAUUGUUAAUUUAUUAUAUUGGGGUAAUAAUAAAAUUUUAUAAAUUUUUAUUUAUUUUAUUCAAUUAUAGUUGUUUAAUUGAUCUAGUAUUAUUGAUUAAAAAUUUAAGUUACCUUAGGGAUAACAGCGUAAUGAUUUUUGAGAGUUCUUAUCGAUAAAAUAGUUUGU
rnacentral:rRNA from 1 species